rnacentral:rRNA from 1 species
CCCGGGCCUUGUACACACCGCCCGUCACACCACGAAAGCUGGCUGAACCAGAAGCCGGUGACCCAACCCGCAAGGGAGGGAGCCGUCCAAGGUUUGGUCGGUGAUUGGGGUG